UGUCGGUUUAAUUGGAUUCAACGCCGGAAUCUCACCGGGGGCGACAGCAAUAUGAAGGUCAGGCUGAAGACCUUACCCGAUUAGCUGAGAGGUGGUGCAUGGCCGUCGUCAGUUCGUACUGUGAAGCAUCCUGUUAAGUCAGGCAACGAGCGAGACCCACGUCCACAGUUGCCAGCAUACCCUCCGGGGUGAUGGGUACACUGUGGAGACCGCCGCUGCUAAAGCGGAGGAAGGAGUGGGCAACGGUAGGUCAGUAUGCCCCGAAUCUCCCGGGCUACACGCGGGCUACAAUGGUUGGUACAAUGGGCAUCUACCCCGAAAGGGGAAGGAAAUCUCUUAAAGCCAAUCGUAGUUCGGAUUGAGGGCUGCAACUCGCCCUCAUGAAGCUGGAAUCCGUAGUAAUCGCGUUUCAACAGAACGCGGUGAAUACGUCCCUGCUCCUU
rnacentral:rRNA from 1 species